AGGAGCCGAGUCGGCGGCGGUAGCAGCAGCUCCGGCGCUGAGGUCGCGGGCGCUAGGAGACGCGUAGGUUAUCUCCCUACGCAUUGUUUAAAAAGAAGCGCGUCGGCUAGGUAGCGUGCGCCGGCUGGCCUCAGAGCCGCCGCGAGGAACGGUUUUAUAAAGGCUGAGAAAUGAGAAUAAUAGCACAAAAUAUUGGUGUAUCAAAAGAAAAAGAGGCGCAAGUUAUUUGUUUGUCAUUUACUCCGUUUCA